rnacentral:rRNA from 1 species
GAUGAACGCUGGCGGCGUGCUUAACACAUGCAAGUCGAACGAAGCAUUUCAGUCUUAAUCUUCGGAAGCGGACUGAUCUGACUGAGUGGCGGACGGGUGAGUAACGCGUGGGUAACCUGCCCUGUACAGGGGGAUAACAGUUAGAAAUGACUGCUAACACCGCAUAAGCGCACGGUAAGGCAUCUUAGUGUGUGAAAAUAUUAAUAGGUACAGGAUGGGCCCGCGUCUGAUUAGCCAGUUGGCAGGGUAACGGCCUACCAAAGCGACGAUCAGUAGCCGGCUUGAGAGAGUGAACGGCCACAUUGGGACUGAGACACGGCCCAA